rnacentral:rRNA from 1 species
UACGAAGGGGGCUAGCGUUGCUCGGAAUCACUGGGCGUAAAGGGUGCGUAGGCGGAUCGUUAAGUCGGGGGUGAAAUCCUGGAGCUCAACUCCAGAACUGCCUUCGAUACUGGCGAUCUCGAGUCCGGAAGAGGUGAGUGGAACUCCUAGUGUAGAGGUGGAAUUCGUAGAUAUUAGGAAGAACACCAGUGGCGAAGGCGGCUCACUGGUCCGGUACUGACGCUGAGGUGCGAAAGCGUGGGGAGCAAACAGG